UACGGAGGGAGCUAGCGUUGUUCGGAUAUACUGGGCGUAAAGCGCACGUAGGCGGCGUCGUAAGUCAGGGGUGAAAUCCCGGAGCUCAACUCCGGAACUGCCCUUGAAACUGCAAUGCUAGAAUCUUGGAGAGGCGAGUGGAAUUCCGAGUGUAGAGGUGAAAUUCGUAGAUAUUCGGAAGAACACCAGUGGCGAAGGCGACUCGCUGGACAAGUAUUGACGCUGAGGUGCGAAAGCGUGGGGAGCGAACAGG
rnacentral:rRNA from 1 species